rnacentral:rRNA from 2 species
AUAAGCAUUACACGGCGAAACUGCGAAUGGCUCAUUAUAUAAGUUAUCGUUUAUUUGAUAGCACAUUACUACUUCGAUAACCGUGGUAAUUCUAGAGCUAAUACACGCUAAAAAUCCCGACUUCGGAAGGGAUGUAUUUAUUAGAUUAAAAACCAAUGCCCUCUGGGCUCUCUGGUGAAUCAUGAUAACUGCUCGAAUCGCAGGGCCUCGUGCCGGCGAUGGUUCAUUCAAAUUUCUUCCCUAUCAACUUUCGAUGUUUGGGUAUUGGCCAAACAUGGUUACAACGGGUAACGGAGGGUUAGGGCUCGACCCCGGAGAAGGAGCCUGAGAGACGGCUACUACAUCCAAGGAAGGCAGCAGGCGCGCAAAUUACCCAAUCCCGACACGGGGAGGUAGUGACAAUAAAUACUGAUACAGGGCUCUUUCGGGUCUUGUAAUUGGAAUGAGUACAAUUUAAAUCCCUUAACGAGGAACAAUUGGAGGGCAAGUCUGUGC